rnacentral:lncRNA from 1 species
GCUUGAGUACUUACAAGAAAAACAGAGCCGAGUCUCCAGUGAGUUGGAAAAGCAGGCCCUGGAGAAGCAGAUUAAGGAAGCAGAGAAGGAAAUUCAGGACAUCAAGUAAGCUGGGCUGUCUGGGUCCUGGGAAGAGCCUCAGCCUUGCAUGGUACCAGCUCCUUGUCCUCUGCUUUAGCCAGCUCCCAGAGGAAGCUUUGUUGGGGAACCGGCUGGACAGCCACGACUGGGAGAAGAUUUCCAAUGUUAACGUAAGUUAGGAAGACCUGGGAGCCCACUGCUCUAGGAGUGCUUCUAAGCCAAGUGUGGUGGGAGCUUGGUGGUGAAGCCUCACCAUCCCUUGUGCCUUAAGCCAUUACAACGUCUCCAGUCCAAUAUGCUUGGCAGUUAGAAGUGGCAAAGGAUUUCAUGGGACCCUCCCCAGCUGAGGGGCUACGCAGCUGGACUGCAUGGCCUGCAGAGUGCGAGCAAACCUGAUGGCCCCAGACCCUGUGCAGAGAGCUCCAAGUCCCAGUGCAGUGUCUGCUCCCUCCCACCUGGAUGCUUCUGAUGACCUCGAUGACCUUGACGUGCUCAGGACUCGUCAUGCUCGGCAUUCCCGGAAAUAGAGGUUGCUCUGAGCAGCAAGGACAAGGACUCAAGGGAUCCAGAAACCCAGGCUUAUACCAGGCAAGAGGCAGGGCCCAAGCCUGACCAGAAGCCCACAGCCCUCUGCAAGAAGACGGGAGGCCAGAAAGCUGCAGACUAAGCUGUGCAGCAGCAGCAGCAGCUGUGGGAUAGCAGUGGUCAUGUGAUCACAGGCUUAACUGUUAGCAAACGCCGAUCCACAUGUGUGAAGGAAUAAAGUAAUGCCCGUUUCUCACUUCC